rnacentral:lncRNA from 1 species
GUCAUUAAACUGCUCAAACAAACAAAUAUUAACCUUUAAGUCCUUUAGCAGUCAAAUACUUUAUUGACAGAAAUGCUUUCUGUGCACUUGGCAUCUUUCUUAAUUUUUACUACAUGCUAAAUUCUUCAUACAAAAACAAGGGAACUACCUAAUAAAAUAAAUUUUAAAGGCAGGACAAUAUUCAGAAGUGCCUAGAUCAUCUAUCCAGUUUUAUGUUAUAGUUUUUAUUAAAUAGGUUCAUUUUAUUUAAAAUUAUAAAUAUAUAUAAAAACCCACAGUAAUUAAUAUUACAGAAAAGAGUGAAGGCUUCAAGUGCUGUUCUAUUAACCAAAUAAAAACAAUUAAAAUUGUACUGAUUGCAAGAUGGGCAAUUAUUGUUCAUUUUUAAGUCUAAGUCUCAUAUCUAAAGAAGUUUUAAGACUUAACUAUAGUUAUCUUUUAUCUAUGUUUGUUUAUUUUCCUAACCAGCCAUCACCACACACCAAAAACAGUUUCAGGUUCCAUAAAAUUUAUAAUUAAAAGAAAAUAAUUUCUAAGGUAUCAAUAAUAAUCCUAUUCCAGUUCUUAUUACUUGGGUGGAUUAACCUCACAUUCUUUCAAAGUAAUCUGAUGUCAUGCUUUAGAGAUCUCUAAAUGCUGUUGAAAAUCUUCCAUACUUAAAAUCAUUUCUAUGCUCUUUUAGUCUUGUUUCCAAAUUCCUUUCCAUAUAUCUAAUAUAAAGCUUUUCCUUGGUUUGGGAGGAAUUGUUUAAUAAAAUCUCAUAUACUUCGCUUUUGUCUUUAUCAUCAUAAUGGACCUUAUCAUUUAUAAUUAGACCAAACAUAGUCAGGUUUCUUUAAAAUUUAGGGUACAGUGCAUCAGCGUGCUUAUUUUUUGACUUUUUCUACCUAUAAACUCUGAAUUAUAUUCUUAAAAACAUCUGAUUUAAACCCUUCCCAUUACAGAAACUCCUUUCCACCUUAUCUUACAAUUUCCAUAGGAAGUUGUUGCUGUACCAUGCUUUUGACCUAUUUUCAUUAUCAAAUUAAUCUUCUCUUUAUUCUAAUAUGGCUGUAAACAGUGUUGAAAAAGUAUCUGUUCUGUACAAAAACCUAUUAUCCGAUACUGUAAGAACAUAUAUAGGGAUGUUGCCUGGUGUUCUAGACACAGUGGUCGUGUGUCUAUUUUCUGUAAUCAAGAUCAUAAUUAAAUCUUAUAAUUUUGAUUACAGAAAAUUAAUCUGUUUUGCAUGCUUGUUCCGUAACUGUGAACUUCAGACUAUUGUUUUACCAGAAGAAUUGCCUUCUUCUCAAACAAUAGUUUGAGGUUCAUGGUUAUGGAACAAGCAUGCAAAUCAUAAGAUUUAAUUAUGAUCUUGAUUGCGGAGAGUGGAUGCAUGACUGCUGUGUUUGGAAUGCCAGGUGGCAUCCUUGUGUAUGUUCUUGCAGUGUCGGAU